rnacentral:lncRNA from 1 species
UUCUCCUUCGUUGGUGGCGGUACUAGUGGUCGACUUCCUGGUUGUGCUCCUAUUGUUUUUUGGAUUUGAUUUUUUAGUAUUUUUGUUUCAUUGUCCUGGUGUGUUGGGGCAAUAUCGCGGUUCUUGCUGCGGUGAAGCUGCAACUUGUCGAAUGCUUGCUUCCGUGCAGUUUUGCAAGGCUGCGGGGUGCUUCUGCUUCGUGUCCUUUUGGAGAGUUGACGCUUCCUCAACGGU